rnacentral:siRNA from 1 species
CAUGCAAGCGUAAAGCAGUGCCA